rnacentral:rRNA from 1 species
AGAACGAACGCUGGCGGCAUGCCUAACACAUGCAAGUCGAACGAGACCUUCGGGUCUAGUGGCGCACGGGUGCGUAACGCGUGGGAAUCUGCCCUUCGGUUCGGAAUAACAGUUAGAAAUGACUGCUAAUACCGGAUAAUGACGUAAGUCCAAAGAUUUAUCGCCGAAGGAUGAGCCCGCGUAAGAUUAGCUUGUUGGUGAGGUAAAGGCUCACCAAGGCUACGAUCUUUAGCUGGUCUGAGAGGAUGAUCAGCCACACUGGGACUGAGACACGGCCCAGACUCCUACGGGAGGCAGCAGUGGGGAAUAUUGGACAAUGGGCGAAAGCCUGAUCCAGCAAUGCGCGUGAGUGAUGAAGGCCUUAGGUUGUAAAGCUCUUUUACCCGGGAUGAUAAUGACAGUACCGGAGAAAUAAGCUCCGGCUAACUCCGCGCCAGCAGCCGC